rnacentral:tRNA from 1 species
GCAGUGGUGGUUUAGUGGUAAGAUCCUCACCUUCCAUGAGGGAAACCCAGGUUUGAUUCCUGCCAGUGCA